UCCUACGGGGGGCAGCAGUGGGGAAUAUUGCACAAUGGGCGAAAGCCUGAUGCAGCAACGCCGCGUGAAGGAAGAAGGCCUUCGGGUCGUAAACUUCUGUCCUUGGGGAAGAAGAACUGACGGUACCCAAGGAGGAAGCCCCGGCUAACUACGUGCCAGCAGCCGCGGUAAUACGGAGGAUGCGAGCGUUAUCCGGAUUUAUUGGGUUUAAGGGGUGCGUAGGCGGUUUUUUAAGUUAGUGGUUAAACGUCGGGGCUUCACCUUGAUUUGCCAUUAAUACUGUAAGACUCGAGUUCAGACGAGGU
rnacentral:rRNA from 1 species